AGGGUUUGAUUCUGGCUCAGGAUGAACGCUAGCUACAGGCUUAACACAUGCAAGUCGAGGGGCAGCAUUUCAGUUUGCUUGCAAACUGGAGAUGGCGACCGGCGCACGGGUGAGUAACACGUAUCCAACCUGCCGAUAACUCGGGGAUAGCCUUUCGAAAGAAAGAUUAAUACCCGAUGGUAUAAUUAGACCGCAUGGUCUUGUUAUUAAAGAAUUUCGGUUAUCGAUGGGGAUGCGUUCCAUUAGGCAGUUGGUGAGGUAACGGCUCACCAAACCUUCGAUGGAUAGGGGUUCUGAGAGGAAGGUCCCCCACAUUGGAACUGAGACACGGUCCAA
rnacentral:rRNA from 1 species